AACGAACGCUGGCGGCGCGCCUAAUACAUGCAAGUCGAGCGAGAAGACGUAGCAAUACGUUUGUAAAGCGGCGAACGGGUGAGGAACACAUGGGUAACCUACCCUAGAGUGGGGAAUAACUAGCCGAAAGGUUAGCUAAUACCGCGUACGCUCCUUGGACUUCGGUACAGGGAGGAAAGCGAUACCGUGGGUAUCGCGCUCUUGGAUGGGCUCAUGUCCUAUCAGCUUGUUGGUGAGGAACGGCUCACCAAGGCUUCGACGGGUAGCUGGUCUGAGAGGACGAUCAGCCACACUGGCACUGCGACACGGGCCAGACUCCUACGGGAGGCAGCAGUAAGGAAUAUUGCGCAAUGGGCGAAAGCCUGACGCAGCGACGCCGCGGUGGGGGAAUGAAGGUCUUCGGAUUGUAAACCCCUUUCGGGAGGGAAGAUGGACGAGCAAUCGUUCGGACGGUACCUCCAGAAGCAGCC
rnacentral:rRNA from 1 species